rnacentral:rRNA from 1 species
AACGAACGCUGGCGGCAUGCCUAACACAUGCAAGUCGAACGAGACCUUCGGGUCUAGUGGCGCACGGGUGCGUAACGCGUGGGAACCUGCCCUUAGGUUCGGAAUAACUCCCCGAAAGGGGUGCUAAUACCGGAUAAUGUCUUCGGACCAAAGAUUUAUCGCCUUUGGAUGGGCCGGCGUUGGAUUAGCUAGUUGGUAGGGUAAAAGCCUACCAAGGCGACGAUCCAUAGCUGGUCUGAGAGGAUGAUCAGCCACACUGGGACUGAGACACGGCCCAGACUCCUACGGGAGGCAGGAGUGGGGAAUAUUGGACAAUGGGCGAAAGCCUGAUCCAGCAAUGCCGCGUGAGUGAUGAAGGCCUUAGGGUUGUAAAGCGCUUUUACCCGGGAUGAUAAUGACAGUACCGGGAGAAUAAGCUCCGGCUAACUCCGUG